UUGACCUCGAAUCAGGUAGGAAUACCCGCUGAACUUAAGCAUAUCAAUAAGCGGAGGAAAAGAAACCAACCGGGAUUACCUCAGUAACGGCGAGUGAAGCGGUAACAGCUCAAAUUUGAAAUCUGGCUCCUGCGGAGUCCGAGUUGUAAUUUGUAGAAGAUGCUUUGGGUUGUGGGUUCGGCCUAAGUUCCUUGGAACAGGACGUCAUAGAGGGUGAGAAUCCCGUAUGUGGCCGAGGCCCGCGCCUAUGUAAAGCUCUUUCAACGAGUCGAGUUGUUUGGGAAUGCAGCUCAAAAUGGGUGGUAAAUUUCAUCUAAAGCUAAAUAUGGGCCAGAGACCGAUAGCGCACAAGUAGAGUGAUCGAAAGAUGAAAAGCACUUUGGAAAGAGAGUUAAACAGUACGUGAAAUUGUUGAAAGGGAAGCGCUUGCAACCAGACUUGGGCGCUGCCGAUCACCCCGAGUUCUCUCUGGUGCACUCGACAGCGUACAGGCCAGCAUCGGUUCGGGUGGCUGGAUAAAGGCCGUAGGAACGUAGCUCCCUCCGGGGAGUGUUAUAGCCUACGGUGCCAUGCAGCCCAGCCGGACCGAGGACCGCGCCUUCGGGCUAGGAUGCUGGCGUAAUGGUUGUAAGCGACCCGUCUUGAAACACGGACCAAGGAGUCUAACAUCUAUGCGAGUGUUUGGGUGGCAAACCCAUACGCGGAAUGAAAGUGAACGUAGGUGAGAACCCCUUUGGGGCGCAUCAUCGACCGA
rnacentral:rRNA from 1 species